UACGUAGGUGGCAAGCGUUGUCCGGAUUUAUUGGGUUUAAAGGGUGCGUAGGCGGUCCUAUAAGUCAGUGCUGAAAUAUCCCGGCUUAACCGGGAGGGUGGCAUUGAUACUGUUGGACUUGAGUAAAGUUGAGGUUGGCGGAAUUGACGGUGUAGCGGUGAAAUGCUUAGAUAUCGUCAAGAACACCGAUUGCGAAGGCAGCUAACUAAGCUUUAACUGACGCUGAGGCACGAAAGUGUGGGGAUCAAACAGG
rnacentral:rRNA from 2 species